GUGAAUCAUCAAAUUUUUGAACGCAAAUUGCACUCUCUAGUAUUCCGGAGAGUAUGCCUGUUUGAGGGUCAGUAUUAAUAAAAAUCGGUGUGUUGCUUCUUUGUGACGAUCCGGAGUUUGGGUCAUCGUAAGAUCCGUUAGGUUUUAAGAGGCUUAAAAUUGACUUUUUUUGCGAAUUUUAGAUGUACAUAAAUUCUGUUUUUUAUUCGUCUGUCUUAAGGCUCAAAAUCCUAUUAGAAGGGACCAUAUC
rnacentral:misc_RNA from 1 species